GGUAAGGUGGCCGAAGCAGGUGCCGAGUUGUAGCCUCGGUCAUAAAGGCUAACCCUUUUCUUACCA
rnacentral:tRNA from 1 species